AUGGACAUGAGGGCCCCUGCUCAGCUCCUUUGGUUUCUAUUUCUCUGCCUUUCAGGUUCCAGAGGUGACAUUCAGGUGACACAGUCUCCAUCCUCCCUGUCUGCAUCUGUGGGAGACAGAGUCACUAUCACUUGCAGGACAAGUCAGGAUAUUAGAAGAUAUCUACAAUGGUUCCAGCAGAAACCAGGGCAAGCUCCUAAGCUCCUGAUCUAUGGUGCAUCUAACUUGGCAAAUGGGGUCCCAUCAAGGUUCAGUGGCAGUGGGUCUGGGACAGAUUAUUCUCUCACCAUCAGCAGCCUGCAGUCUGAAGAUAUUUCAAAUUAUUACUGUCUACAGUAUGAUGAGAAUCCUCCCACAGUGAUACAAGUCAUAACAUAA